rnacentral:rRNA from 1 species
UACGAAGGUGGCAAGCGUUGUUCGGAUUUACUGGGCGUACAGGGAGCGUAGGCGGUUCGGUAAGCCCUCUGUGAAAUCUCCAGGCUUAACCUGGAACAGUCGGAGGGGACUGCUGGGCUAGAGGACGGGAGAGGAGCGCGGAAUUCCCGGUGUAGCGGUGAAAUGCGUAGAGAUCGGGAGGAAGGCCGGUGGCGAAGGCGGCGCUCUGGAACGUUUCUGACGCUGAGGCUCGAAAGCGUGGGGGAGCAA